AGAGUUUGAUCAUGGCUCAGGACGAACGCUGGCGGCACGCUUAACACAUGCAAGUCGAACGAGAGAAGAGGAGCUUGCUUUUCUGAUCUAGAGGCGGACGGGUGAGUAACACGUGAGCAAUCUGCCUUUCAGAGGGGGAUACCGAUUGGAAACGAUCGUUAAUACCGCAUAACAUAAUUGAACCGCAUGAUUUGAUUAUCAAAGAUUUAUCGCUGAAAGAUGAGCUCGCGUCUGAUUAGCUAGUUGGUAAGGUAACGGCUUACCAAGGCGACGAUCAGUAGCCGGACUGAGAGGUUGAUCGGCCACAUUGGGACUGAGACACGGCCCAGACUCCUACGGGAGGCAGCAGUGGGGAAUAUUGCACAAUGGAGGAAACUCUGAUGCAGCGAUGCCGCGUGAGGGAAGAAGGUUUUAGGAUUGUAAACCUCUGUCUUCAGGGACGAAAAAAGACGGUACCUGAGGAGGAAGCUCCGGCUAACUACGUGCCAGCAGCCGCGGUAAUACGUAGGGAGCGAGCGUUGUCCGGAAUUACUGGGUGUAAAGGGAGCGUAGGCGGGAUCGCAAGUCAGAUGUGAAAACUAUGGGCUUAACCCAUAAACUGCAUUUGAAACUGUGGUUCUUGAGUGAAGUAGAGGUAAGCGGAAUUCCUAGUGUAGCGGUGAAAUGCGUAGAUAUUAGGAGGAACAUCAGCGGCGAAGGCGGCUUACUGGGCUUUAACUGACGCUGAGGCUCGAAAGCGUGGGGAGCAAACAGGAUUAGAUACCCUGGUAGUCCACGCCGUAAACGAUGAUUACUAGGUGUGGGGGGACUGACCCCUUCCGUGCCGCAGCAAACGCAAUAAGUAAUCCACCUGGGGAGUACGACCGCAAGGUUGAAACUCAAAGGAAUUGACGGGGGCCCGCACAAGCAGUGGAGUAUGUGGAUUAAUUCGAAGCAACGCGAAGAACCUUACCAGGUCUUGACAUCGUAUGCAUAGCUCAGAGAUGAGUGAAAUCUCUUCGGAGACAUAUAGACAGGUGGUGCAUGGUUGUCGUCAGCUCGUGUCGUGAGAUGUUGGGUUAAGUCCCGCAACGAGCGCAACCCUUACUGUUAGUUGCUACGCAAGAGCACUCUAGCAGGACUGCCGUUGACAAAACGGAGGAAGGUGGGGAUGACGUCAAAUCAUCAUGCCCCUUAUGACCUGGGCCUCACACGUACUACAAUGGCUGUCAACAGAGGGAAGCAAAGCCGCGAGGUGGAGCGAACCCCUAAAAGCAGUCUUAGUUCGGAUUGUAGGCUGCAACCCGCCUACAUGAAGUCGGAAUUGCUAGUAAUCGCAGAUCAGCAUGCUGCGGUGAAUACGUUCCCGGGCCUUGUACACACCGCCCGUCACGCCAUGGGAGUCGGUAACACCCGAAGCCUGUAGUCUAACCGCAAGGAGGACGCAGUCGAAGGUGGGAUUGAUGACUGGGGUGAAGUCGUAACAAGGUA
rnacentral:rRNA from 1 species